rnacentral:lncRNA from 1 species
GACCACUGUAAGGCGUACAAAAUUCAAUAAAUAAAAAUCAUAUUGCACAAUUUAAAUAUCCGAAAUUAAACUUAAGUAUAGUGACAUCAUUCAGGAAUAUCUUUUAUCAUUAGGUUUUUACAAUUUUGUAUUUCUGAAAAUUCUAUUUUUUCUAAAUAAAGGCAACAGUAGUAAGCCGCUGUUUAAGUCAUAAAUCGAUGACAAGCAUGUCGUGAGUAACAGCUUUUUAAAAAGAACCAUUCAUUAUUCACUUUGAUGCAUUCAUCCGGUGUUUGUAUAUUUAUGUUUAUCAUUAAAAUUGUUCUUGGCUUUCUAUUUUCCAUCAUUUUAUAAUAUCUGAUGGUCCCUUAAUUCGGUACUUCAGAAUGUUUCUUCGUCUCUGAUGUUUCGUUUUGUAUUCAUUAAUAACUAAAUAGUAACUGGUUGUCAAAAUUUGACCACAAGUUGUAGAAAAUAAGUACAGAACAUUUUCAUUUGGUUAGGAUUUGAGAUUCACUUUGGCAGCAAUUAUCAAUUAGAUUAUUAGACUGGAUCCAACCAAGUUUUAAAGACCCAAAAUUGAUUACGAAUCGUUGUUUAAUAACAUAUCCGCCUAUCUAAGACUACUGUAACAAGAGGAAGUAAAGCAGUCUCAGUUCGUCAGAGGACACAUCCAACGGUUUCGGUAAUAGUAUCAGAUUGGUUGAUUCUCUAUAGCUAA